GAGUGAGUGAGGAAGAUUUGGGUUGAGGUAAGAAGGGAGUUGUAGGGGGGUUAGCCUUUGCGAGUUGGUGAAGUGGUGAAAUAUGAUAAUCUUAUGUUGAGGGGUUGAGCUGUGUUGAUGAUUUGAUUCCUUAAAGAUUAGGGCGAAGACCAGGAUUAGAUACCCUGUUAUGCUUUUAGUAAUUUGAGGUGCCCGGAGUAGUAAACAGAUAUGAUCUCGAAACUUAAAGAAUUUGGCGGUAUCUAAGUCUAGUUAGAGGAACCUGUGCUGUAAACGAUAAACCACGAAUAUCUUACUCCGUCUUGAGAUGGCAGCUCGUAUACCGCCAUUGUUAUUGAUAAUCUUUGAAGAGGUUUAUUGAGAUAGAUUUAUAAUUUAGUAUAUUAGGUCAAGGUGCGGCUAAUGAUGGAGAAGUCAUGGGUUACAUUGAUAUUAGUAAAUACGGAUGAAUUCAGUAGGAUGUGAAUUCUGUAAGAUGGAUUUAAUAGUAAAGUGGGUAUAUCAUGCUCCUUUGAUAUUAGCUCUUAGAUAUGUACACAUCGCCCGUCGUUCUCGCUUU
rnacentral:rRNA from 1 species